rnacentral:snRNA from 1 species
UAAAAGGGUCAGUUGGCUAAAUAUGCCACGCUCGUCCUUUGUUUGAUGGGUGCUGUAUGGAUUUCAAGACAUAUGGCUGACAUAAUUUAUGGAAACUUAAUGGGUUGGCUCGCUUUAGGCCGACCCUCUA